CACAAGAAGCCACGUGACUCCAGCUGC
rnacentral:piRNA from 1 species